rnacentral:lncRNA from 1 species
AAUAAGUUCUGUUCAAUCAAUCUCAUAGGGAACAAAGAAGAACCGCAUAGAAGUAUGGAACCUUCCGGGUUAAGCGAUCGAAAUGACCUAACCUGGCUCCAUCUGGAAGGGCCCUCGGUAAUCUAUGUCGUCUUUGGAACUAAUAACAGAAUGGAAGGGUUCCCCCCGAAAACAACGUUAGACUUGUGCAUGUGUUAAGGAUAUAGCUUAAGUAGAUAGACUCAUUGCUUUUCUCAAUUGAUUUCUUAAGUGAAAAGAGAAAGAAGCAAAUCUCAUCUUUAGUUGUGUUACUUAAACUAGGGCAGCACUGGCCUUCUAUAUCGUCCUUCAUACUAUAAAAAGAUCAGUCUCACUAAUCGGCCUAAGGCUUAUUCAGUCUCACUAAUCGGCCUAAGGCUUCUAGAGACAAUUCCUGGCUCGACAAACUAAAGGCUGUUUCCGUUUUGAGCCUAUUCCAUUUCGAUUCUGAAAUAAAGGUGCUGAAAGCCACUAAGCAAUUCGAACUUCCUGGCUAACACGAAGAAUGGAAGAAGACCCGAAGCGGAUAGUAGAAACUCUUUGUUUGAGUUAAGCAUAAAUAAGUACAGAGGCUACGAGAAAGAUCUUAAGGCGAUCUCGCAUUGCUGCCUCACAACGUUAACAAACUCCAUCCAGGGAUUUCGAAAGAACAGUCCUUUGGCCCAGAAGGAAGACAAAAACGAGACAGAGAAAACGAGGAACCAGAAUGCAUAAAGUAAAUACGGACUCGGGCAUGACCCUCUAUAGAGUUUGAUAUAAGGGAGCAAGCCCCUCUGCAUAAGGAAGGAGAGAGAACCAGACAUGCACAACAAGUGCUAAGCCAAAGAACUAGGACUACACGAGUAGAUCGUAAUCCGAGGCUUAUCGGUUAGAAUGAGUGGAUGCACUCCAUUGGGAUCGUUGUAAUGGCAUCCCUUUGGAUUUAGAUAGUUCAGGUUGAAGUGGAUUUGAUUUAGCUGGUUUCAUUUAUGUACAAAGGAUAUCUGGAAGGAAGAUGGUAAACGGAAGAGCUGGGUCCCAAAGCAAAUGCAUUCCCAUCUGGGCAAUAGCCAAGAAAGAAAGGGCAGGUUCCGUUUUUAGGCAGGGAGUAGCCUGGUCAAUUUAUGGUCCUUUAUCCGACUCCGGUCUAGCAUAAAGAGUGGAAUGAAUCGGGUUUGCUCUCUUCACCUAGAUACUCUAUUAAUAAGGUUAGAAAGAAAACUGGUAAUAUUAAUAAGGUUAGAAAACAGAUAAUAAGGAUAAGGUUAGAAAACUGGUAAUAAGGAGGAAAACUGGUAAUAAGGAGGGUUAUCUCUCAGGAACAUUUAUACUGGGUUAUACUUUGAACGGGCGGGCUGCCUGCCUCAUUUACGUCCCCGUUGGUGACAACGAGGAUAGAAAGCAGAUGGAAAAAGCAUUCCAUUUCCUAAGAAUUUGACAAUGAACAGCCAUCCUAUUUAGAAUUAGACAAACAGACUCUUUCGAAUUAGACAAACAGACUAUACUAUUUCAUAUUUCAUAAACGAUGUCACUUUGAAUCAAUAGAGAACUUCUUUAUUUAGCCGAGUCCUAGGAUGACGGAAAACAAAGUGGAAUCGAGCGCUACUGCUUCAUUGAUUUUGGUUGCUGAGACUAGAUCUUCCAAGUGUUAGUGCCUCAGCCCGCUAUCGCUUCAUCUUUUGAUGUAUCGUAAAUGCCUGAUGUAGAUGGUAUCACUUAUUCUGCCUCGGUCGGGUGCUGCCUUAGGUUGAUGUGAAAGAAUAUCCCUUGCUUCCUACUUAUUUACUAUCUAUCGGAGAGUUGGACCCCUUGGUCUCAGUCUCCUAUAGUGAGUAGGAGUAAAGAGGAGCGAGUUGACGAGCUGGCGGACUCACGUUCAGACUUGAAGAUCCAGCCCGAAAUGCCAAUCUUGAGUUCUCGGUCAAUAGAGCUAAAGCGUGACUUCUCAGGAACGACAAAGUAUCAAAGGGGCAUUCAUCUACUUACCCUCAUUCAUCUACUUUUGAAAUGGACAGAACAAAUCGGAAAAGGCAAGCUUACCGUAUUCCUACUUGACUAGUUGUACUAUUCUGGUUUUGGAACAUACCCUUUCUAACAUAUAACACAAGGUGGAAUCAAAGUAAAGAAACUAUUAGCAAGGAGUGAAGUAAAGGCGUAAAGAAACUAUUAGUUAGGAGUGAAAUAAAGGCGUCGGUUGCCUUCCGCUGACUAUGGAAUCCCCAGAGACUAUAUCCAUCAAUAAAAAACCUACCAUUGAAUCAACAGGUAUGGAAUCAGUAUCAGGCUCUUAGCACCCGAACACAGGACAAAGAAGGAUCUUCCGCAGGAGAAGUUCCAGUUCCAUAAAUUUCUAGUAAAGCGGGAAAGCCUUUCAUUCCUAGCAAAUAAGCCUUUCACUGGUGUUGGCUUAGAAGCGGGAAGUAAAGAAUUGUUGACAGUUGAAAGAUAGGAUAGGAUAGGAUACUGAAGUCGAAGCUGUUGAAAGAGUCGAACCAUAAAUAUGUUAGUAACAAAUGCAUUUCAAACUGUGCCGUUAAGAAAGAAGAAUGAGUUCUCUGACUCCGAGCCUUACUAUUAAGCUUGAAACUAUUGAAUUGACGACCGCCCAAUGCUUGCUUCUAAGACAAGACUGUUUUAAGGAGUGGAAGCGAGAAAGCAAUCAGGGUUGCCCGCCUCGCCUUGUACUAAAAAGAAGGGUUUAGAGCUUGCUUGUAGUUAAGGGCUAUGAAAGAAGGGUUCCUUACUCUACAUAAUAGUGGAUUGUAGGUCAUAACAGUGUCCUUUAUUCGUCACCGGCGGCAGCAAGCAAUAGUAGCAAGUCCUGUCUGUUUUCGUUUCUCUUCUCGAUGCUUUAUCUUCGACUCCGGUAUUGUAUAUUAGUAAUAUAAUAAGUAGCUUGCAGCAGGGCUUGUUUCAAUAAGUAUUUGUUUAGAGAUAUUCCAUUACUGUUUUCCUACUUUCACACUGUUUGUCAGCUUGUCUAGUGGGUGCGGCGUGACUUCUAUAUAAGUAAAGUAUCCACAAGUCUUCUACAUAAGUAAAGUAUCCACAAGUGCUUUGUUCAUGGCUAAAGCAACUGAGUAACCGGUCCGGGUCAAUAAGUUCCAGGUCAAAGUGCCAAUGGAAUCCCUUUCAUAAUCAGUAUCUGUCUUUGCGCCAAUUGCAAAAGGAAGUAGGAAAUAAAGAAGCAUUUGUUGCCAGAGGAGAACACACAUAGGUUUCUUGUCAAGUCUGUAUCUCUUCUCUUCUUUCCAGUCAAUACUAGAGCAUCUAAUCUACCUAUGGCUAUCUAAUCUACCUAUGGCUACACCACUUUAAGGAUCCUAUCCUAGACAACAUUAUACUUAACGAGCAGUUGUUUUGGAGCGACUAGAUCGAGCCUUGUAAGAUAUUCUGCUGUUGGAAUCUUUUUCCCAAAGGCUGUAACAAUAAUACACCUAUACAUGCCAACAUUCUAUCCGAGCCCCUACAAUCUAUCCGAGGAGCAAUACAAUAAAGGGAGCCAUUGAAAGGUGACGAUAUCAUUGCCAGUGAGAGUUUUUAAGUAAAGACCCAGACUUGGUGGCAUCAGGGCUAGCUUCAAUUCCAUACUUGGUGGCAUCAGGGCUAGCUUCAAUUCCAUUAUUUGGAUUAUUUCUUUCCCGAGAAGAAACCGGGUAGUUAAGGUUCUUUUGCAUCCAGCCAAGCAACCACUAACAUUGCUAUCAGCCAAGCAACUCAAAUACAUAAAAAGUAAUAAGGUUGCGAAGCAAAUAACUUAUUUUGUUGUUGUUAUUACAAUUCCUGUGUUCGGCAGACAAGCAGACAAGCCGAUCUAGGCGCUAAAGAAAGUUGGGCUAAACAAGCAGACAAGCGUAUACUAAUGGAUUGAUUAGUUCAACAAAGGGUGCCUCUAUUCAAUACUACUAGUUGGGGCAAUAAUCUCUUUGCUAUCAAAAAACGACUUCCAGCUCGGCUGAGGACCAACUUCGGGAGAGCAGAGAAGACCCAACACGAAAGGUAGCCACUGAUAAUCGAAGCUAUUCAGAUGGGUCCAUUUGAUAGAAGACUCGAGACCCUGUUCCGACUUUAGCUGCUUAAAGAACUUUCAAGGAAAAAAGACGAAUUCAAGGAAAGAAAAACGAUCAUCCCUGAAGCGAGGGACCACUGAAGGAGAGCGAGUGGUGUGUAUAUGACCCGCAUGUAAUUUACCAUUGAAGUAGAUACGCUCAUGUGAGAGAUACCUAGAAGGCUCCACGAUGCGAGAAACAACCACGGGAAUCUUAAGUUAAUCAUAUAUUUGAAUAAAGCCAGAAUCACCCAAGGAAAGAUUACCUUCCAAUAGUAAACCAGCUUCAGAAUCCUGCUCGGGGCGACUGGCCGACUUCAAUCUUAUUAUAUCAUUAUAUAUGUCAGAAGAUAGUCCGGUAGGGAAGAGGCGGAGCUCGCCUUUCAAUUCAUUAUAUUGUAAAGAAAUUGAUUUGGAAUUCCGCCAAUCAACAUCCUUCUGCAGCAAGCGUCUAUGGAUGCAACCCCAGAGGGUAGGGUGGAAAUCAACCGAUCCGCUCUAAGGUGGGGGAUGCGGCUCUUGAAACGCAAACGCAUGAUUCUUUCAUUGAAAGGUCCUUGCUCACGUAAACUACGGACAGGUGAGUUGGUUAUCAUUAUUACAGGGACGUUAUUCUUCUUAGUCAACUUUAGCCCAUACUUACUGUCCAACCGACACUGUUGCCCAUCGAGGACUCGAAGGAGGGUGUUAUUCGAAGAAGCCAGUAGCGCCUGACCAGCAGCAGAGAGAUAGCUAAAAAAGCGAUCAUAUAAACAGCUCUCUCGCUCUUUGACUUGGCGGAGGUCUUCGUAGAUAGAUUGGAGGUUAUUAUGCGAUGUAAACACUCGUUUGAUGAGGUCAGCAUCGGUAUAGAUCUGCUCCCAUGAGUCGAGGCUUUUUAGCUUCUCAAUGAGGUGCUGAUGUUGAGUAGGCAUCUUCUUAUGCUGUUGAUGAGCCUUUAGGGAUUCAUUCAGGGUAGAAAGAGUAUGGUGGCCCCACGUAUAAGGGCAGCGGUUGCUCUACCUCAUAACUCUCAAACACUGGAGUAGUACUGGCCGAGUAGACAGAAGAAGGAACAAAGACAGGACAAAGAAUUCAUUACUACCCUGAUUUACCGACAAGGCCUUAGCAACUAGGCUUCUUAACCGCGCCUGUAUAGGUAUUUCUACUUAGCUACAUUGCCUGAGCUACUAAUAAGCAUCUAGUUAUAGACUUAGCAACAUGGCUUCCAAGACUAUAUACUUAGCUACUCCACUCAAUAUUCAUAUAACUCCUUAGCAAAAGGCCCCUAUAGGCUUCAAAUGCAAUUGAAAGCGAAUUCCUAGGUGGAACACUAGACUCGUUAUAUAAGUAAGGGUUAGUGGUGACUUGCCCGACCUCUGUUUCUCGCCCUCUUGCCUCUGCCCUUAUAAUUAAUGGUAGACGCUAUUCGCCCAGCUUCUGUAUCAAAUACAUAACUCUUUAACUCCGAUGUCUAUUACAUCCCCUGGUAGCUAGGUAAACGAAUUCCUCUUUCUUACUCUGGCUCCUAAGUCUUCCAAUUCCAUUCUGAAGGAGUUAACCUAAUUAAUAGCUAAAGUCAAAGCCAAGGCGCGGUAGCGAGCUAUAGAAGCGGCAGGAGCUUUAUUCGUUUUUGCCCCUACAGAGAGGGACAUCCCUUACUUUGACCUUAAGAAUGGAAUGGAAUGGAAACUGAUUAACCAAGAACUGAAAGAGACUCCGCUCAAGCAUCCGAUCUAUUAACCAAGAACUGAAGGAGACUCCGCUCAAGCAUCCGAUCUAUUAACUCUGGCUCGUGGACCUAUGGCUACCAAUAAUGAAUUGAACUCGGCCCUUACUUAUAUUACUGUCUGCGAGUUGAUAGUGGAUUUCUUUGUCUAGGAAGCAGGCAAGAGAGACCGGCAUACGACCAAGCAAGUACGAUUUGCCAUCAAACUCAAGAAGAAAACCGGCAUCCAAGGUAAGAAACUGAGGAAUUAACCAUAGCUGAUCUAGCCCUAAGAAUUGACCCACUACUGAGAACACUGCCAAUAAGCCUGCUCCCUACUGCCUCCUAAUUUCGUUCCUUAGUUCAUGGCGGUAGCGAGUUCAACUUUGCUUUAAACCUAAGACUCAAGUUUCUCCUUCUUUAGCUCAACUAAUCUUUAUUACUUUACUGCUUAUCUGCCUAUAAUUUCUCUAUUACAUUACCAACAAUUCUAUUACUCGAUUACUUAUACUCAAAAUAAAGACUUGCUUCACUGCGCCUAAAGCAGCCUUUCCUUAAACAAAUCCUAUGUUCGCCUACGAGACCAACACUCCUUGAUCUAAAUCUGACUUCGCCGGCUAUUAACUUGUCCUUCUCCCCGAGACCUACUACCCAAACGGAUAAUACCAACUAGCAAACUAAAGACAGGAAUAUGGAAUCCAACUCGUGCCUACAAGAAUAGAAACUGCGCCUCUAAUACUUUCUCCUAUAAUAAGGAACAGAAACCCAGGCUAACAAUAAUGGAACUAGAGACGGGUGAUCUAACAAGUCACUCUAGUUCUCUCGGGUAGGAACGUAAGAGCACUGGGUUAGUGACUCACAAGUAAGAAUGCCCGUACAGGGUCAAAGACUCAACAAAGUAAUUAGUCCGGGUGAGUUGAGCCUGUAGUUUUAGAGUUGCAUCCCCAACUAGUAGCAGAGUAGUUGCAUCUGUCUUUGUUUACAGAGGAGUGGUAUAGUAGCCGAAUUCAGCAAGUCAUAACUCUGUUAAUAGGAGCCGAGCCCCGGUCACUAAUGAGUUAAAAGAGCCAGAGCCAUAGGUAUAAGGAUAUCUGAGUUUAGGUAAGUCCAGUAGUAGUAGCAAAGUAGACUUGUCUGCUUGUCCCCUUGACACAGUACAGACACAGUAGAAGAACAUUCCAACUCUCAAGUAGGAAAGGCAGAAUUCCAUUAGUAUGUAGAAGAAUGGAACUCAGUCCACAAAGAAUAAAACAGGAGCAGAGCCAGUAGUUGUAGUCCCGGGUUCUUAGCCUUUGUAGUAACAGUUGCCCAGUUCUUGCCUUUGUUUGUAGUAGUGGCUUGGUCAUUAGCAGUUCCUUGGUGGACUUGGUUAUAAGCAUAAGUAUGGGAGAUGAGCCUCAUUCAGUUACAUAGUUGCUUGUUUACUUUUGUGUUUACUUGUUUGUUUGUUCCAUUGCUUGUUCUAUAUAAUAGCAUCUAUAUAAUAGCAUCUAGUUCCAUUGCUUGUUCUCUAUAAUAGCAUCUAAUAGAUGAACAUAACAUCCUACUGCUUACAGCAAAGACUAUCCUUUCAGUUAACCUAACAGCGCUGAAGAAGUAAGGCCAUUUCUCGAAGUAAGGCUUGAACGCCCGGCAAGCAGACAAGUAACUAGAAGUCAACAAAUACAGAAUUCCAUUUCCAAGUCAAGCUCUAUUUAACUCCCUUAGUUCAUGAGACAGCAAAAUGUUGUAAAUAGCGGCCUUUUAGGAAGGCACUUGGAUUGGCACUAAUCAGGUUCGGAAGCACAAGUUGUAGCCGACUAGUAAGCAUAUUUUGCCAUUUCUUUUGUAAACAGUGUUGCCGCAGCACCUGAACAUAUCGAAGUAAGAAGUCACUUCAGUAAUGAAUCUCCUUCAGCAGGAAAUAAGGAUGGGAGAUAGGUUACUAAGAAAGGAAACCAAUUCACAAGUUGACCUUUGAAGCAGGGGGACCGAGUGACAGACUUGGCUUUUCCAGAAUACACUACAAAUAUGGUUGAGCAUAAGGCGUUUUCAUCAAGGUAGGGUUAGGGUAGACCCAGGGUCCGUUUAGAAGCGAUACAGAGAGAAAGAACCAUAGCCAGAAGUCUCGAAGGGUACAGGGCAAAGUCAGAAAUCCACCUAUGAAACUAAUCCACUUGCCUUAUAAUUAAUUUGAUCCUAACAUCUUUAUGGUCGAAAGGAAAGAUGCUAUUGGGUAUCCUCCAACUUCCAUAGACGAAACACACUUAGAUAAAGCUUCUCUUGAUCACACACAUCUUGGUUUAGACUUAUACUGGGCGAACCUAUCUCUACAACAACACAGUCAACCGUACUCUACCUGCUUGCUACAGGCAAUUCAACCGCGACACGAUAACCUCUCUCCCACUUAGUAAAACCAAUCACCGAGACUUAACUCGCAACCCGCAGGCGCUUAAGAAUCCAGUCCCAGAAUUGAGCUAGAUCCGAUCAGACUUAACCCAGUGCCCCUAAGAACCAAACCAGCAACAACCAGGCUGAAACACCCAGCUACAAGACUCAAACUAGGGCUACUCAGGCCUCAACUCAGUAGUGACAGGCUCUCCGGCAGGGUAUCGAUUCCAAGUACUGAUAGAGAGUUACAGGCUAAGACAACAGCUACUCGGACUUAAACCGGCGCUAGCAAGCCUUAUACUGGUGCCACUUAGAAUCAAACUCGGUAGUUUCAGAAUGAAGUCAAGAAUCCAAACUAAGUAGUGACAGGCUUCAACCCAAAAGUGACAGGCUAUCUUCGACCCCCCGAGUCACGGAAUUGAACUAAGCAGGUUAACUCGCUACCUACUGGCAAAGAAUUCCAGUACUACUGAUUCUAACUGAUGAAACUACGAGCCAUCAAUUGCCAAGUCCAGUGUUCGCCUUUCCUACUUGCCUACUUCCACUCAUGAACGGAUUCAACUCGUUCGUCCACUCUACUCUAACAAGACCAGGAGCUGGAUACUUGCUUUAAGGCUUAGACAAACUCCUUAAGCUAGUCAAUUGAAUGAAACAAGUAAGUCCACCACCCUACCUGGCGUACCACACCACACUGGUUAAGAUCGUUUGCCAACUCCUAUAUAGGAUGAAACAAUAGAAGCCGGUAACUACCCCAGUGCUCCUUCCUUAAUGAAUGCCUACUAUAGCUCAUCUCAUAUCACACGCUUACCGAACAUCCAGCCCACUACUACCAACAACUACAAAGGCACAGAACUGAGCCCUCUCGUAGACAACAAAGACAGCCAGAUGCCCUUUCCAAAUAGAUCUUGCUUCUAAGCAGCUCAUCUCGCAAACAGGGAAUCCAUCUCUACCUUACCCGGACAGCUAUGUAUAAGAAAUCAAUAUCAAUUCAUUCUCUCUUUAGAAAGGAUAGAGGCCAAGCAACCUUUCUUUCCUUCCCUAUACACCCCUUUAGCCAACAAAGACAGAUGAUACUUCCACUCGGUAUCGGUAUUCCACAACAACAAAGAACAGGCAAUUCUAUACUAUACGGGGCUGUAAACAUAGUCAACAAUUCUGCAUUUCAUCUUUCUUGCGCUGAAGGAACUGCACCCGCACUGCUAACUGAAUGAGAACUCCCCUUCAACUAAUUCUUCUUGAUUACCUCUACUCCCAGGUAUUCCAAUAAUAAUAACUGACCUAGCUCACACCUAGCUUCAAAGCAAGUACUUUAUUCAUUUACAACCUUAACUCUCACUGAGUCGGAUUCUGCUCUUGAUACUAAGGAAUUGGAACUGGCAAUACUUAACGCCUCAGUAAACUCUUCAAAUACAGAUCUUGUAACUGCUCUUGCAACUGAACAAGCUACCACUAGACAAGACACUAGGCAAGUAGAACAAAAGUGCUAUACUAUUUCUCUAUUUGCUAUGAGCCAAGUCACUCACUACACCGGCUAUCUAUCCUGAGUUGUUGAAUGAUUUGUUUACAAGGCUAACAGGGAAGUCGAAGAAUUAAGAUCCACUGCUGAGGCUGCAGGCGCAAGUGAAAGAUUCAAUUAGACUGUUUCUGGUCAGGGAAGGGGCCAAUCAACAUAGUUAGUUGCGCUAAGGAGCUUCGGACUUGAGAGGUUGCCAGCCAGAUCAGAGCACUUCUUGUUGGCAAAGGUGAACCUGCUACUUAAGAAGCGGUUGAAAGAUCUGACUACUUAGUUUCAAGAGAAAGAGAGGGAUGAGAUCGAGGUCUUAGAUAGAAGCUCUCCGCCGGUAAAGAAAGUCUCAAGGUGUUCUAAACUCUAUUCAAUGAUUUGAUUCACUUAAAAAGAGAGCUUUAAAGGAGAGUGAGUUUCGGGUGUGAGUGAAAAGUGGACAGUUCCGGUUUCAUCAGUAUUUGUAGCAAUAGAUAUGAGAGGCACUAGCUCCAUUAUUACUGCUUAUCCCUUUGCUUUAGAAGCACUAGUCAAAACAAGGUCCGAGAAGCACUGGUUUCAUUCUGACUUGAACUACUGAGUUGCCGGCUCACUGGUAUUAUUACUUAAGAGAACAGAACAGAUAGAGCUAAUUGAACUUACAAAUCGAAACUCCCUUCUUCAAUUUAUGUACUUAGAGUCGAGGCCCUUAUAGUCAGUUGUGGAAGUCAAACAAAUCAUUGAACCCUGCUGGGCUUGUGGAAAGAAGUGACUAGGGGUCGGGUGCUAGUGUAUAGGGAAGGAAAGAAAGAAAGUGAAGUUCGAGUUCAAGCAGAAGCUAGAUCUAUAAAGCAAUCGGGUCUUCAUCAAAUACUGGUUAUUGUGAGCUACAGUAGUUCAUAAGAAUGCAACCACUACCCCUAGUAUAGGAAUGAAAACAAGCCUACCCCAGCUACUUGACUAGAGCGUAAGCACCAAGCCCACCCCGUCAAGUCAGUAAACAAAGUGAGUCAACUAAGUCAGUAAACAAGCUUACCCCACAAAGUCAGUAAUCACCCAGUAAGUAAACAAGCCCUACCUGAACUACUUGUUUAAGGGUCGAGAGAGAGGGCUUGCUCACAUAUUCCUGUUGCAAAUACAGUUCUCAGAUCUUAAGCGUGAAGUAGAGAAUUGUAGCCAGAGUUCAAUGAAACAAAAAAGGCUGUAGAAUGGAAUUAAUUGACAGAGUUAGAUUGAUUAGAUGAGAGCCAUAGUUUAUGAGAUGAGCCAGAGGAUAGGUCAGCAAGGGAAGCAGUUAGAAUAGAAGUAGGUGUUACCAAAGUGAGAAUUGGACUAGUAAGUAGAAGCCUUAAAGCACCGAGUAGCAGAGUAGCUAAGAGUACAAGAGGUAUACAAUAGUUAGUAAAGAGCCAGAGGUACAGUAAAGAAGUUAGUGCUUCAGAAGCGGGAAGUUUAGUUCCAUUGUCUAGGAAAAGUAGUACAACAUUGUCUAGGUUCGUAGCUAGGGUUGAUCCAGAAGGAGCACGUACUGGUAGUCCUGUUCUUGUUCUAGUUUCAUCCCUGGUGAAAGCCUAUGUUCCAGUUGUUGUUAGAGUUUCAUCCCAAAUAAGUAUACGAGUAGUCCGGAGUGAAUCUAAUUAAUAGCCAAAGUUCGCUUAUUUGUUUUCUCCCUAGUUGAAUCCCGAAUUGCAUCCGUUCACCUAUAUAAGGUAGAAGAGUCAGAGCAGAGGUAUAGGAGCCGAGCUGGGAGUGAUAGUGAAAAGCCAGUAGUUUAUGAGUUGAAUACCGAAUGUCAUCCAAGGCCUAUCCUAUCCCGUUGCAAGCAAGGUAAGAAAAAGAAUCAUGAGCUAUGUAUUAUAAGAUAUAAGUAAAGUAACCAACCCCGAACACAGGACUUGGUAAGCUAUCACUGGAAACACCGGAGUCAGAAUGUCCCUAAG